rnacentral:rRNA from 1 species
UACGUAGGAUGCUAGCGUUGUCCGGAUUUAUUGGGCGUAAAGAGCUCGUAGGCGGCUCAGUAAGUCAGGUGUGAAAACUCCAGGCUCAACCUGGAGACGCCACCUGAUACUGCUGUGGCUAGAGUCCGGUAGGGGAGCAUGGAAUUCCUGGUGUAGCGGUGAAAUGCGCAGAUAUCAGGAGGAACACCAGUGGCGAAGGCGGUGCUCUGGGCCGGAACUGACGCUGAGGAGCGAAAGCGUGGGGAGCAAACAGG